UACGAGGGGUCCAAGCGUUGUUCGGAAUCAUUGGGCGUAAAGCGGGUGUAGGUGGCUUUGUAAGUCAGGAGUGAAAGCCCUAGGCUCAACCUAGGAAGUGCUUUUGAUACUGCGGAGCUUGAAUGUGGGAGAGGAUCGUGGAAUUCCAGGUGUAGUGGUGAAAUACGUAGAUAUCUGGAGGAACACCGGUGGCGAAGGCGGCUAUCUGGACAGAGUCUGACGCUGAGGCGCGAAAGCUAGGGGAGCAAACAGG
rnacentral:rRNA from 1 species